rnacentral:lncRNA from 1 species
CGAAACAAGGCUAGAUUCGACGUGCUGCACCACCCCAGAAUCAAUGGAUGAGAUGGAGGUAUGAAGGGAGACAGACCCAGAUUCAAGGUGAGGUGGUUGAGAGGAGGGACAUAUAAGGGAGGAGAUUGGUGGAGUAACAGAGCCUCUUGAUGAAUGCUCCGUAGGAGGUACGUCAAUACUAUUCGACAGGGCCUUCUCGAACAAAGGCUGGAUGAUGGCC